rnacentral:rRNA from 1 species
GAAUGCGAUCAUACCAGCACUAAAGCACCGGAUCCCAUCAGAACUCUGAAGUUAAGCAUGGUUGGGCGGGAGUAGUAUUAGGAUGGGUGACCUCCUGGUAAGUCCUCGGGUUGCAUUCCC